rnacentral:rRNA from 1 species
UUCCUCCUGGCUUAGGAGGUAAGGCCUGCUCACUGAAUAUUUAAAGAGCCGCAGUAUCCUAACUGUGCUAAGGUAGCAUAAUCAUUAGUCUUUUAAUUGGGGACUGGUAUGAAUGGCUUAACGAGAAAUUGACUUUUUUUGUUAUAAAAAUCGAAUUUAAUUUUUUAGUGAAAAAGCUAAAAUUAUUCAGAAAGACGAGAAGACCCUAUAGAGUUUUAUGUUUUAGGAUAUUUUUUCUUAUUUGAUUUUUUAAGGUUAAAUAUUUAAGAACAUUUUGUUGGGGCGACAUUAAGAUAAAAAAAACUCUUUAUUUUUAAAAUUUUUAUAAAAAGAAAGUUUGAUCCUCUAUAAGAGAUCAAAAGAAAAAAUUACCUUAGGGAUAACAGCGUAAUCUUUUUUGAGAGUUCUAAUCGACAAAAAGGUUUGCGACCUCGAUGUUGGACUAAAAUUUAGGCAGGGUGCAGCAGUUCUGCUUUUAGGUCUGUUCGACCUAUAAUAUUUUACACGAUCUGAGUUCAGACCG